CAAAAGCUAAAGUAGUGGUUC
rnacentral:siRNA from 1 species